rnacentral:rRNA from 1 species
UAAAGCAAGAAAGGGCGUAUGGGGAAUGCCUAGGCACACUCCGGCGAAGAAGGACGCAGCAAACAGCGAAAUGCGACGGUGAGCGGUAAGCACGUGAAGAGCCGUCGAUAUCCGAAUGGGGGAACCCACACGGAGUCAUAUCCGUGUAUCACAUGUCGAAUACAUAGACAUGAUGAGGCGAGACGCAGGGAACUGAAACAUCUAAGUACCUGCAGGAAGAGAAAAUAAGAAUGAUUUUCUGAGUAGCGGCGAGCGAAAGGGAAAGAGCCCAAACCGAUCUUAGGAUCGGGGUAGUAGGAUCAUCGAUAAAUCUGACAGAGGAUCAUAGAGGAAUCACAUGGGAAGGUGAGCGAGAGAGGGUGAGAGCCCCGUACUCGAAAUGAGAGACUGGAGAGAGAUGACACCUGAGUAGGGCGGGACACGAGAAAUCCUGUCUGAAUCAGCCGGGACCAUCCGGCAAGGCUAAAUACGAGAGAGUGACCGAUAGUGAACCAGUACCGUGAGGGAAAGGUGAAAAGAACCCCGGGAGGGGAGUGAAAGAGAACCUGAAACCAUAUGCCUACAAGAAGUCAGAGCCCGUUAAAGGGUGAUGGCGUGCCUUUUGUAGAAUGAACCGGCGAGUUACUGUAUGGAGCGAGGUUAAGCAGGAUAUGCGGAGCCGAAGCGAAAGCGAGUCUUAAGAGGGCGAGAGUUGCAUGCAGUAGACCCGAAACCGGGUGAUCUAGCCAUGACCAGGUUGAAGUUGGGGUAAAACCCGAUGGAGGACCGAACCGACCCCCGUUGAAACGUUGGCGGAUGAGUUGUGGCUAGGGGUGAAAUUCCAAUCGAACCCGGAGAUAGCUGGUUCUCCCCGAAAUAGCUUUAGGGCUAGCGUCGAGGUAAGUUGCGUGAAGGUAGAGCACUGAAUAUGUGAUGGCCCCAUCUCGGGGUACUGAGCAUAAUCAAACUGCGAAUGUCACGCCAACAUGCUCGGCAGUCAGACAGCGGGUGAUAAGGUCCGUUGUCAAGAGGGAAACAGCCCAGACCAUCAGCUAAGGUCCCAAAAUGUAUGCUAAGUGGAAAAGGAUGUGGAGAUGUACAGACAACUAGGAGGUUGGCUCAGAAGCAGCCAUCCUUUAAAGAGUGCGUAACAGCUCACUAGUCGAAUGACUCUGCGCCGAUAAUUUACCGGGGCUAAGCAUACUACCGAAGCUAUGGAUCCCAAGGGAUGGUAGGGGAGCGUUCCAUGAACGGAGAAGUACGACCGAAAGGACGUGUGGAGAUCAUGGAAGAGAGAAUGCCGGUGUGAGUAGCGGAACGUGGGUGAGAAUCCCACGCACCGAAAACCCAAGGUUUCCAGAGGAAGGUUCGUCCGCUCUGGGUAAGUCGGGACCUAAGGCGAGGCCGAAAGGCGUAGUCGAUGGACAACAGGUAGAGAUUCCUGUACCCGUAUAUAUGUGAAGGAAUGACGGAGAGAGGAAGCUGCAGCCAGCGGCUGGAAGAGCUGGUGCAAGCGAGAUAUCGGGAUGGCAGGCAAAUCCACCAUCCGAAACGAGAAGGCGUGAAGCGUACGGAAAGCUACGGCGAGUACGGAAGGCAGUGGAGGAACUUCCAAGAAAAGUUUCUAACGUUAAGUAUAUAUGGCCCGUACCGAAAAUGGACACACAUGGGUGAGGAGAGAAUCCUAAGGUGAGCGAGAGAACUAUAGCUAAGGAACUCUGCAAAAUGACUCCGUAACUUAGGGAGAAGGAGUGCUCAUAGAGAUAUGAGCCGCAGUGAAACGGCCCAAGCGACUGUUUACCAAAAACACAGCUCUAUGCUAAGUCGAAAGACGACGUAUAUGGGGUGACGCCUGCCCGGUGCUGGAAGGUUAAGAGGAUGUGUCAGCGCAAGCGAAGCAUUGAAUUGAAGCCCCAGUAAACGGCGGCCGUAACUAUAACGGUCCUAAGGUAGCGAAAUUCCUUGUCAGGUAAGUUCUGACCCG